GAGUGCCACCUGGCGUCCUUACUGAAAACUACACGUCCCCAUUUUUAUGAAAACAUAAUAGCCGUAGACAUGUCAUGUGACCAGCAAACACUGGGCUUGUUCCGACAUUGCAGCCGACUGACUGAUCUACAAAUCACCUUGCAUCAUAAAUACCGAUAUUAUUAUUUGUAGAUCAGUCAGUAAGCAUUCGCUUCACGGUUUUGAUGCUCCCGAACAACGGCUUUUAAGAGAAACAGAAAGUUAACCGAACUACGGUUGUUGUUACGGUAGAAACGACGCUGUUACCCAGCGCUCACCUCCGUCAUUCUGAACUCUUUUGACUGAACACCGUUUUGAACCCACGUUCUUGCUGCAUGCUGCUUGCACGGUUUCUACGAAGGAUGUCAUCUCUUCCCCGACCUCGUCAUGUGAUCUGGGAGACAGAGGAGCUGGUGGCCUACCUCCACCCCCAGCCCUGGACCCCAGGCACUACCAUCCUGGAGCCGAAGACCCCCAGGGGCCCAGAUGAGGAACCAAGCCCAGCUCAGGGCAGUCUCUUCAGGCUGGGUGAGGGAGCCUACCUGAGGUUGCUGCUGGGGGCCAGGGAGGUGGGGGCCCUGCUGUGUGAGAGGCUGGGGGUGAAGAGAUGUGCCCUGGUCUGCAGGCCCCACCCAGACAGUAACAGUCCACCCCAGAUCCGGGUGCUGCCGCUACACGGCCUUGACAGCGAGUGGCGCCCCCACCUGGCGGGAGAUGAGCACUACACCCACCACGACCCCGGCUACGUCACCUCUAAAAGCGGCCCUCGCUGGACUGACACGUCCCUCCAGGAGAUCCAGGCCGAGAUCCGGGCCCAGCUCCCUUCCCCCAAUGCCCUACCAAACCUCACCUUCCUUGGGGAAGACCCAUCGCACCCCGGCCUCUUCUCCCGGAUCGUCCGUGGAGAGGAGCAGCAGUGGAGGGUUGAUGGGGGCUCCACCACUGGCUCUCUACCUCCUCAGGCCCAGUUUAGUGCCACCUAUCCUGGGUUUGUGACCUCGGAGGAUGGCCCUGAGGCCAGCCUGGAGUGUUUGAAGGAGUUACAGGCCAAAAUCACACCGUAAUGAUAAUGUAAUGUAUUGACAUGUUAUGAAAUAUGUAUGUAAUUGCAUAUUAUGAAGGACCUGAAACUGGGUGAUUAUAGUAUUGAUGUAUUGCACUUGACUACAUACAUUCCUAUUGGUUGACUUGUGAUAGCUUUUUUUCAAUAUGAAGCCUGUUGCUUCAUGUACAUACUGAUUUGGUACCAAAUUCUGUAGAUGUGACUGUUUCUGUCAUUUUAUUAUGAACUUGAAAUAGGACAACAAUCAAGAGCUUUAUUUGAGAAACAUGGUACUGUAAGGGUUUUAGAUAUAUCCUUUGAUAAGUACUUAACAGUAGCAUGGAAAAAUACAUGAUUGUUUGAUCAAAAUAAACAUGUGAUUUCUAUGUUUUGUAAAGUGUAUUUUCAGAUAUUUCUAACAGCACAACAGGCUGAGAAAACGAAAAGAAAUAAACCGCUGUCUUUCAUUGUCAAAUGUUACAAUACAUAUGUCAUUACUCAUUACCCCUCUAAUUGUAUUAAAUUAGUACAAACGAUCAUGAACCCAAGCACCUUCAUAUGGGGUUAGUUCACCCAAAUUACAAAAAUAAGUAUUGGAUUCCUUCAAAGGUUUACAUUUGAAGCAGGGGCCAGAUAGACAUAGCUUGCACAGGGGCCAGAUAGACAUAGCUUGCACAGGGGCCAGAUAGACAUACGUUGGUACAGACAGUUUUAUUUUCUUACCCGGUAAGCAAUGUAAUUUAGUGAACUAUCCCUUUAAUCAUUAUAUUCCAUAUGCUUCAGUCAUACCAUUGAAUCAUCACCCAGCGUUCAAUUAUGUUUUGCGGGAUCUAUUUACAGAGUUCAGCACUCGCAACACAUCUGCAUAGUCCCCUAAUGAGGUCUUAAGAUCUCUGCCUAACAAGGCUUCUAAUUGGUCCCUCAGUGUUUCAAUUAAGAGGUUGAAUUAAUGAGCAGUUAAGUGGUUAAUUAGUGGGU
ensembl:lncRNA